rnacentral:rRNA from 1 species
AGUGAACGCUGGCGGUAGGCCUAACACAUGCAAGUCGAACGGCAGCACAGUAAGAGCUUGCUCUUACGGGUGGCGAGUGGCGGACGGGUGAGGAAUACAUCGGAAUCUACUUUUUCGUGGGGGAUAACGUAGGGAAACUUACGCUAAUACCGCGUACGACCUACGGGUGAAAGCAGGGGAUCUUCGGACCUUGCGCGAUUGAAUGAGCCGAUGUCGGAUUAGCUAGUUGGCGGGGUAAAGGCCCACCAAGGCGACGAUCCGUAGCUGGUCUGAGAGGAUGAUCAGCCACACUGGAACUGAGACACGGUCCAGACUCCUACAGGAGGCAGCAGUGGGGAAUAUUGGACAAUGGGCGCAAGCCUGAUCCAGCCAUACCGCGUGGGUGAAGAAGGCCUUCGGGUUGUAAAGCCCUUUUGUUGGGAAAGAAAAGCAGCAGGUUAAUACCCCGCUGUUCUGACGGUACCCAAAGAAUAAGCACCGGCUAACUUCGUG